GAUAAACGCUGGCGGCGUGCAUAACACAUGCAAGUCGAACGAUGAAGAUUAAAAGAUUUCUUCGGCAUGAACUUAAUUGGAUUAGUGGCGGACGGGUGAGUAACGCGUGAGUAACCUGCCUUGUACAAGGGGAUAGCCGUUGGAAACGACGAAUAAUACCCUAUGACAUCAAAUAAUCGCAUGAUAAUUUGAUCAAAGAUUUAUCGGUAUAAGAUGGACUCGCGUCUGAUUAGCUAGUUGGUAGAGUAAAAGCCUACCAAGGCAACGAUCAGUAGCCGGCGUGAGAGAGUGUACGGCCACAUUGGGACUGAGACACGGCCCAGACUCCUACGGGAGGCAGCAGUGGGGAAUUUUGCACAAUGGGGGAAACCCUGAUGCAGCGACGCCGCGUGAUUUAGAAGGCCUUCGGGUUGUAAAAAUCUUUUGUAUGGGAAGAAAAUGACAGUACCAUACGAAUAAGGACCGGCUAAUUACGUG
rnacentral:rRNA from 1 species